CUCCUCGUGGUCCAAUGGAGACGACGAGUGGCUACGGACCACUAGAUGGGAGUUCGAUUCUCUCCGGGGAGAC
rnacentral:tRNA from 1 species